rnacentral:rRNA from 1 species
AUGGCUCGGCUCUACCAGCUCACCGUCCUCUCCGUCUUCUUCUUCCUGCUCCUCACCGGCCUCGUGGCUGCCGAUCCGUCUGGAGGGAAGAAGGUCGGGAAGAAGGUGAUCAUGACGGUGCGGUAUCCGGCUGCCGACUCGGGGGAGAAGGUCACGAUCUCGACGCACCUCAUCGGCGAGGGCGGGGUCGGCGACAGCCACUUCCAUCUCGACGGCGACGACUACGAACCCAUCAUUUUCGCCACGAAAAACCUUGUGUCGGCCCUGGAGAAGGUAGGAGAUCCGCAGGCCUCUCUAUCCGAGCUGUAG